rnacentral:rRNA from 1 species
UUGGCUCAGGAUGAACGCUGGCGGCGUGCCUAACACAUGCAAGUCGAACGGAGUGUUGAGAGCUUGCUUUUAACACUUAGUGGCGGACGGGUGAGUAAUGUAUGAGCAACCUGCCUUUCAGAGGGGGACAACAGUUGGAAACGACUGCUAAUACCGCAUAAUGUAUUUUGAGGGCAUCCUCUAGAUACCAAAGGAGCAAUCCGCUGAAAGAUGGGCUCAUAUCUGAUUAGCUAGUUGGUGGGGUAACGGCUCACCAAGGCUGCGAUCAGUAGCCGGACUGAGAGGUUGAACGGCCACAUUGGGACUGAGAUACGGCCCAGACUCCUACGGGAGGCAGCAGUGGGGAAUA